rnacentral:ncRNA from 1 species
AAAAACACUUUGACGGAGAGAGUAUACCAUUUCUGUUCAUGCUGACAGAGAGCCGGGGACAGGUGAAAGCCCGACGCAAGGAAACGGUAGAAAAUCACUCCUGAGUGGCAGACCGAACGGUUUUACCAAGUAGACUCUGUCGUGUCCCGCGUUAAGGGAACGCAUCAUAAUGGUGAUGCAAUAAGGUGGACGGCGUUUUGUGCCGUCAAAUCAGGUGGUACCGCGAGCCCAUUCGUCCUGUGU